rnacentral:ncRNA from 2 species
UGUGGGAGCGAGCUUGCUCGCGAUGGCGACGGCACAGUCAGCAUCUCCAGCAACUGACUCACCGCUAUCGCGAGCAAGCCCGCUCCCACA